rnacentral:rRNA from 1 species
CAAUAGCGAAUACUAAUUCUGUUGCAGUUAAAAAGCUCGUAGUUGAACUUCUGGUAGGAGUGUCCCGGCCUUUUUGUUUUUACAAAUUGUAUGCUGUGUGACAUCUCUGGCCAUCCUUCUUCUUUGUUUAAAGAAGAUCUUUCACUGUAAAAAAAUUAGGGUGUUCAAAGCAAAAGUUUCUUUGGAAUAUAUUAGUAUGGGAUGAUAAGAUAGGCUCUAGAUGCUAUUUUGUUGGUUUGCACAUUUAGAGAAUGAUUAACAGGGACAGUUGGGGGUAUUCGUAUUUACAUGUCAGAGGUGAAAUUCUUGGAUUUUGGAAAGACGAACUACUGCGAAAGCAUUUACCAAGGAUGUUUUCAUUAA